GGCCAGGAUAUUUAGAAGGAAAAAAAAUCAUGCAGACCCUGCAAAUUUAGCAGCAGAGACUUGAUCUUUGAUGACGAGCUUGUAGAUGCUUUUGACAACAAUGUGUUCUCCAAAGCAUACUCCUGUCAUGAAAUACAGUGUCUUCACCAGUUUCAAGAAGAUAGGAACCAAAAAUAGUCCGUAUUGGAGUGGAUGACCUCCAAGUACCGCUGGAUUUGUGAGACAGAAAGUAGAUGGCAUUACUGCUGAUGCGAAAGAGAAGUCUAAUUUGUAGCCCAGCAGGAUCCCAAAAUAUGUUCAAAAUAUUAUUUAUGACUGAAAAUUAAAAAUUAAGAGUAAAGGCAGAUUUUACUGUUUACUUAGCCAAGUCAUAAAAUAUACAAGCAAAGCAAAUAUAAACAACAGCAAAACAAACUGAGCUAAGGCAUGCUUACAGCUAGCCUAAUCAUCUUAAAACUCCAAAUAUUAUCUCAUGACAGAUGGCUGCUGGAGUCUACAAAGGGCUACUCCAAAUUCUCUUCCCCAUUCCAUAAAGACCACCCCUAUUGAGGACAUUUCCAUCCAAAUGCAUUAUUAUAUAUCCUGUCUUGAAACAGAAGAUUUCAUUUCCUUGCCGCUAUUUGGUGAGUCUUGUGCUGGAAAAGGGCCUAUCACCUACCUUCCUCUGGACCAGCUUUUGCAGAUGAAUUACUCUCUACCAUGGUCUUAGAAGGAGCAGUCAAGAAUGCCUCCCUUCCUUACCAUGCUGGCCUGGACUUUCAUCUAUCACCAAUAAUGAGAGUGGAAUGGAUAACAAAACAGAACAUAAAGAUGUCAGAGAUGUGUCCACCACAUGAAAGUGAUAUCAUUCUUUUCAUAUUAACAUGGCCUUUACUAACAGGACUUCCAGAUGUGCUUAAACUGGAAGAGUGGCUGAUACCCAGAGUGCUGUGCUGCCAUUCAGAAGGAUCUUGACAGAGAGAAGGGCGGAGAAAAACACCGUGAAAUUCAACAAAGAGUGAAUAGCUGUUAAAGACAGAGUUUAGUGCUGGAAACCAUAUUCUCAAAGAAAACAAUAUCUGGGAAAGUGCACUGAAGAAAAGCAAGAUAUGACUGCAAGGCACAGAGAUUCUCAGCUGGUAUUGAAUCCCUCUGCCUCUGGUGACUUCAGAAGAGCUACAAGUCCAGUACAGAGGUUUGGCACAGGAUUGUAAUAAACAGUGCAACUACUCAUAUUAGCAAGUGAGACUACAAUACUACUUUCAAUAAAGACAUGGGAACUUCUCCAUCGAUUACAGUGGAGUAGGUUCAAACCAUAAAAGAGCAUAUCAACAGCAGAGCCAGAACACUGUAAAAAAGCAGUCUCAUUUUGGACAGCAAAUGCAACCACAUAUUAAUCCAUUUUUUGUAUAACAUAUAAAGAGGGUAGGAAAUCAUUUGUCAUUACUGGCAAAGGGGAAAAACCCAUCAACAAAGCCAUCACUUCAUUCAGGUGUGACCACAAUAUAUGUUACCACCACACCAAAAUUACAGCUGAGGCAAUAUCAGUCCUCUUUCAUGGGGACAUGGUAAACAGCUGAUAUGAGGAAAAAGGAAAAUGGUAUGGAAGAAAAUCUGUAAACCAAAGUUAUGUGGUAAGUCAAAGAGAGAAGUGCCAUAGCUGACUAUGUCCAAACAUGGCACUGGGAAAGUGAAAAUAUACCAUUUUUAACUUGAAGAUACUAUGUAGACAACUAAUUUUCUUACAAGAUUCCUCAUUAUUGCCACUGUAUUUAAGAUUUUUGCUCACUAUUCUUCUACUUAGUCCAUAUAACACAUGACGUUAUAUUUAAUUUCUUGUUGGGAAAUAAAAGAAACAACAUGAAACAUAUUUGUCCUAUGACAACAAUUUGUAUACAUGUAGAAAGUGAAGAAUGAGAAUGAAUUCUCAAAACGUAGGGCUUGACCAAUAAUGAGUAUAUCGUAUUGUUUAAUGUUUGCCUUGAACUUACAGUUCUUAGAAAGACAUUUUGAAAUGUCUUGAACAGAUUUUUAGUGAUGAUAAGAAUGUAUCACGACUCAGUCUGAAUUAUUCCAAAUAUUAUGUGCAUUGAAUAAUUUUCCACCUUAUUUUUAAGCAUAAUUAACCUAGUAUUGCAUCCUGAAUGCUGAAUUCCAAUGAAAACAUGUACCAGCCUUCAAAGAUCAGUAGAAAAAAUGACAUCUGGCAGAAGAAUAUAGCUACCACCUGGUCUACCAGAAGCAGGUGGAAAUCUAGGAAGUUCCUAUCUAUUGCACAUCUCCUUAAAAUAAAA
ensembl:lncRNA